rnacentral:rRNA from 1 species
UACGUAGGGUGCAAGCGUUGUCCGGAAUUAUUGGGCGUAAAGAGCUCGUAGGCGGUUUGUCGCGUCUGCUGUGAAAACUCGGGGCUUAACUCCGGGCCUGCAGUGGGUACGGGCAGACUAGAGUGCGGUAGGGGAGACUGGAAUUCCUGGUGUAGCGGUGAAAUGCGCAGAUAUCAGGAGGAACACCGAUGGCGAAGGCAGGUCUCUGGGCUGACACUGACGCUCAUGCACGAAAGCGUGGGGAGCGAAACAAGGAUUGAUGAAACCCC